rnacentral:lncRNA from 1 species
CGAGUUUCUCUUAGAUUUCCAUGGCUACGGCUAUAGAUAUGUACCGUAGUUGUCCAUCUACCUCUGCAGACUCCGUCGAUGAGGAGCUCAUGAGAGCACUUGAGCCUUUUAUGACAAGUGAUUCCGCCUCCUCCCUCCCACACUCUCCUCCCCCGUCUUCCACCUCCACCCUCACCUACCCCUCUCCCUCUUCUCUCACUUCCUUUCUUUACCCUUCUCCUGUAUCCUCCCCCUCCCUCUUCUUCCACUCCUCUAUUCAAAAUCCAAACUUGGAUAGCUACUCCCUUCAAAACACCACCUUCGGGAGUUAUCCCUAUCAAGAUC